UACGUAGGGUGCAAGCGUUAAUCGGAAUUACUGGGCGUAAAGCGUGCGCAGGCGGUUUUGUAAGUCUGUCGUGAAAUCCCCGGGCUCAACCUGGGAAUUGCGAUGGAGACUGCAAGGCUAGAAUCUGGCAGAGGGGGGUAGAAUUCCACGUGUAGCAGUGAAAUGCGUAGAGAUGUGGAGGAACACCGAUGGCGAAGGCAGCCCCCCUGGGUCAAGAUUGACGCUCAUGCACGAAAGCGUGGGGAGCAAACAGGG
rnacentral:rRNA from 1 species